rnacentral:rRNA from 1 species
UGGGGAAUCUUGGACAAUGGGGGAAACCCUGAUCCAGCCAUCCCGCGUGUGCGAUGAAGGCCUUCGGGUUGUAAAGCACUUUUGGCAGGAAAGAAACGUCAUGGGUUAAUACCCCGUGAAACUGACGGUACCUGCAGAAUAAGCACCGGCUAACUACGUGCCAGCAGCCGCGGUAAUACGUAGGGUGCAAGCGUUAAUCGGAAUUACUGGGCGUAAAGCGUGCGCAGGCAGUUCGGAAAGAAAGAUGUGAAAUCCCAGAGCUCAACUUUGGAACUGCAUUUUUAACUACCGGGCUAGAGUGUGUCAGAGGGAGGUGGAAUUCCGCGUGUAGCAGUGAAAUGCGUAGAUAUGCGGAGGAACACCGAUGGCGAAGGCAGCCUCCUGGGAUAACACUGACGCUCAUGCACGAAAGCGUGGGGAGCAAACAGG